rnacentral:misc_RNA from 1 species
UAACUUUCCAAUGAUUCCAAAAGGAAAAAAAAUUUGUGAAUUUUGCUGUGCUCGCUGGAGCUUCAGUCUCUAGCUACUUAGUCAGUGGUCUGAUCUCACAUUUGAUCGGAGAUCGAGAUCAUCAUCAGAAACAAAAGGUGAUCGGAGAGAAAAUGGGAAGGGCUCCAUGUUGCUCCAAGGUAGGGUUGCAUAGAGGACCAUGGACUCCUAGAGAAGACACAUUGCUUACAAAGUAUAUUCAAGCUCGUUGAAGGCAACUGGAGGUCUUUGCCUAAAAAAGCUGGUCUCCUCAGAUGUGGAAAGAGCUGUAGGCUAAGAUGGAUGAAUUAUCUACGGCCAGAUAUUAAGAGAGGGAACAUCACUCCUGAUGAGGAUGAUCUUAUAAUCAGAAUGCAUUCCCUGCUUGGAAACCGAUGGUCUCUCAUCGCUGGAAGGCUUCCAGGUCGAACUGAUAAUGAGAUCAAGAAUUAUUGGAACACUCAUCUUAGUAAGAAACUUAGAAGCCAAGGAACUGAUCCUAAUACUCAUAAAAAAUUGGCAGAGCCAGUUCAACAGCAAGGAAAAAAGAGGAAAAAUAACAAGAGCAACUCCAACAACAAGAAACGCAAGAAAAAUAAAGCCAAAGUAGAACCAGAAAAGCCCAAGAUCCAUCUCCCCAAGCCUGUUAGGUUUUCUUCUUUAUUUUUGCCAAGAAAUGACAGUUUUGAGGGCAAUACUAGUCUGUCUUCAUGCCAAGGAGGAGAGGUUGGUUUAAGUGCAGAAGCUGUCGUAGACAAUCCUUGGUGUAAUUUGAAGGAUGAUGAUGAUGGGAUUAGCUUUCUUGUUGAUCAUGACAUUGUUAACAGCACAGAUCUUGAAUGCCAGACUCUUGUACCGACAGCAAACAACAACCUAGAGAAGCUUUAUGAAGAGUAUCUGCAGCUCCUGAAGACGGAUGAUGAACAAGGACAAUUAGACUACUCUUUUGCCGAAUCAUUGUAGCUAUGAGAGUGUCACGCAUGCCUAGCUAGUUCAUAAGACUUUGAAAGUGUCGGAUGUGCCUAGAGCUUUUCUUUCAUUUUUUUUUUUCUCUGAUCUCUUGUAAAU